rnacentral:lncRNA from 1 species
UUCCCUAACGGUGUUAGGGAAUAUUCCGUUAAAAAUCAGCAUAUACCGUUAUAAUUACCUGACGACGUUAGAAUAUUCCAUCAACUUUGACAUAAUAUUCUCCUCCUUCCUUGGUUCGCCGAAGUCCGGCGCCAGUGCCGUUAAAAUUGUUGGAAAUUGGAAAAAUCUUUAGAACUUCAUAUCUUCUUCAUUUCUCAACUAGAGUUCAUGAAUUAUAUACCAAAAUAAAGCUUGAGAUGUGAGGAACAAAACCUUACAACUCUCAAGUCUUAAAUCCACCGGAAACUCGCUGGAAAAACCCACGAUAGUUCGGCCACUUCUGCAACUCAACGGACCCGAGUUUCUCGACGUUCAAAACCUUCCAAAAUUUUUCUAAAGGCUUCGUGAAGAUGAUCUAAGACUUCCAAAAAGCUCAAAACUUCAAGAAACACUCGCGAUCACGUCGAGUGAACAAUGCACCUCAUCGGGGGUUUUCGAUUCUUGGGUUUUUGAAACUUUCACGACCAACCAAAUGUAUAGAUUGAGUCCUGAGCUCACAAGGAACACGAAAAUCAGUUCUUUGACGUCGAUCCGUGCCUGCAAAGGUUGGUUUGAAAUUUGUUCAUACAAUUGUAUAGAAAUGGAAAGAAAUCCAAGAGGGAGAGAAGGAAGAGGAUCAAAGGGAUUGGUUGGUGUGUGUGUGUGGUCCAGGUUUGGCCAGCCAAACAAAAAAUAACUAAAACUUAAGUUCCACAAACUUAGGAAUAAAUUAAAUUGUUCCAAAACCUAAGCUUCAACCACACCACCACAUAAUAUAACUCAACGCCCAAGGGUAUAAAACGAAUUCCCACGCUAUCGAGGAUAAAAUAAUAUACGCAUUCAGGACGGGCUGUCACACUUUUUGUUUGAAUUUGAGGGUUUAAGGUUUAGGGAGGAAAUUAAGGUUCGGGAAGAAAUUGGCCAAUUAUAAAAUUUCAGGGACAAAAUUGGUCAAUUAAAAAAGUUCAAGGAGUGACAAAUUUGGGUGGAUGCUCCUUACAAGUUUGGGUGGAUGCUGGAUAGGCCUGACAAAUAGAUCGUUUUUACCGUGUUUGUAUUGUUUUCAUGUAAUACAUGUUAUCUUAACAAGUAGUGUUGUGUCAUGCCCAUUAUCUUAAUAGGUUCUUAAUGGGUCGGGUCAUUUUACUUGUUAAAAUUAAUAGGUAAAAUGACCUGACCCGUUAAAAAAAUAGAAAAUUAAAAUUAAAACUAACAUGUCGUGUCAUACCUUUUUCUUCAUCACUGUUACUAUUGUCGUUAAUGGUUUUUUCAUUUUUAUUUUCAUCUUUAGGAAUUCAAGUAUGAUUGAAUUGAAAUGUACCAUCGUUUUAAAAAAAUAAACAUUGACAUGUAACAGCCUGUCCCAAAUUUUACGUUUUUAUUAAGUUUUAGAAGCGUGAAUUCACGAAAAUGCCCUAGAGGCAAGGACUUUGACGUUCAUUGACCAUCAGUUAAAGAAACGUAUGGUUUAUUCUUUUAGCAUAUCCUUGUAGUACUCAUCGCUACAGAUUCAUGGACGCAAAUGGGACGUGAUUUAGAGCUAUAGCGAGGGAGAUAUUAACGUUUGAAGUUUGGGGCAUAUUAAUAAUUUGGUUAUUAUUAGAAAACUCUAAAUGUUUUUUUAAAUGAAAU